rfam:Felis catus isolate Cinnamon breed Abyssinian chromosome X, whole genome shotgun sequence.
GCCCGGGCGGCUCAGUUGGUUAAGCAUCUGACUGCAGCUCAGGUCAUGAUCUCGCGGUUCGUGGGUUCGAGUCCCGCGUCGGGCU